UGGUCUGGGAUAACCCCGGGAAACUGGAGCUAAUACCAGAUAAGACCACGACGUCUCCGGACGAUGUGGGAAAAGAUGGCCUCUCCUUGGAAGCUGUCGCCAAUUGAUGAGUCCGCGUACCAUUAGCUAGUUGGUGAGGUAAAGGCUCACCAAGGCGACGAUGGUUAGCUGGUCUGAGAGGAUGAUCAGCCACACUGGAACUGAGACACGGUCCAGACUCCUACGGGAGGCAGCAGUCGGGAAUCUUGGGCAAUGGGGGAAACCCUGACCCAGCAACUCCGCCUGAGGGAUGAAGGCCUUCGGGUCGUAAACCUCUGUCGGGAGGGAAGAAAAUCUCGUCGUGAAUAUCUUCGAGGAUGACGGGACCUCCAAAGAAG
rnacentral:rRNA from 1 species